AUAUGAUGUCACCAUAAACAGAAAAGAAGACAUAAGCUAACAGUUUAUGAUUAUAAAUAUGUAUAAAUAGCCAAUCAGCUAUUAUGACCCAGUAAAAUCCAUGAGAAACAGCGUUAUUGAUAGUUUUUAGCCCAAACUAAACAAAAGCGCAGCUAUCAUGAUUAUAGACUGUUGUUUCUUGUUAGGAUAUAUACUCUGACCACGCACCUGCGGGAACCGGGGCAUAGAUGUGGAUAAACAAUGCAUCUCGAUAUUGGCUGCCAGCAGAGAGUCUGUGGGGUGCAUGUCAAUCCAGUUUUACCCACCGAAGGAUCCCUCUUCCCUCGUUUGCCAUGAAAUUUCCAAAGAAUAUGAAUCAUCUUCCACCAAGAGCGGCUCCUUCUUUCCUUUCAGUGUGUUCUCUCCAUCGUUCCCAUUCAUCCUGUGUGCCGGAGAGGUCCGCAAGACUCAUUAGCACCCGCCUCUGUGUUUCAUGCCGUGUUUCCCCAAAGGCAUAACUAGCACCAUUAGCCCAGGCAGCAGUGAGAUUUCAAACUGCCUGGGCAGACGGAUGCCUUCCAAACCAAAGCAGUCAUGGUUUCCAAGAUUCUGCCUCCAGUUGGAUGUGAAUGCGGGGCGGACAUUCGGCGACAGCUCCCUCCCUUAGGUCCCCCAGACCUAACCUAGCAGACGCAGAAGCACAACAAGCCUGUCGGACAGACUUGGAG